UUCUGGCGGCGGAGGUAGCACAGAGGAGGCAUUUAUGACCUUCUACAGUGAGGUGAAGCAAAUAGAGAAGAGAGAUUCAGUUCUAACGUCCAAAAAUCAGAUUGAAAGAUUGACUCGUCCUGGUUCCUCUUACUUUAAUCUGAACCCAUUUGAGUUUUGAUCUUGGUUCUUCCAGGUUCUUCAAAUAGAUCCUGAAGUGACAGAUGAAGAAAUAAAAAAGAGGUUCCGCCAGUUGUCUAUCUUGGUGCAUCCUGACAAAAACCAGGACGAUGCUGACAGAGCACAGAAGGCUUUUGAAGCUGUGGACAAAGCUUACAAGUUGCUACUGGAUCAGGAGCAAAAGAAGAGGGCCCUGGAUGUAAUUCAGGCAGGAAAAGAAUACGUGGAACACACUGUGAAAGAGCGAAAAAAGCAACUAAAGAAGGAAGGGAAGCCUACGAAUGUAGAGGAAGAUGAUCCCGAGCUGUUCAAACAGGCAGUCUACAAACAGACCAUGAAGCUGUUUGCUGAGCUGGAGAUUAAAAGGAAAGAGAGAGAAGCCAAAGAAAUGCAUGAGAGGAAGCGACAGAGAGAAGAGGAGAUCGAAGCCCAGGAAAAAGCCAAGCGAGAAAGAGAAUGGCAGAAAAACUUUGAGGUGAGU
rnacentral:lncRNA from 1 species